GAGUUUGAUCAUGGCUCAGGAUGAACGCUAGCGGCAGGCUUAAUACAUGCAAGUCGUGGGGCAGCAUGAAUGUAGCAAUACAUUUGAUGGCGACCGGCAAACGGGUGCGGAACACGUACGCAACCUUCCUAUAAGUGGGGAAUAGCCCAGAGAAAUUUGGAUUAAUACCCCGUAACAUAACGAUGUGGCAUCACAUUGUUAUUAUAGCUUCGGCGCUUAUUGAUGGGUGUGCGGCUGAUUAGAUAGUUGGCGGGGUAACGGCCCACCAAGUCUACGAUCAGUAGCUGAUGUGAGAGCAUGAUCAGCCACACGGGCACUGAGACACGGGCCCGACUCCUACGGGAGGCAGCAGUAAGGAAUAUUGGUCAAUGGACGCAAGUCUGAACCAGCCAUGCCGCGUGAAGGAUUAAGGUCCUCUGGAUUGUAAACUUCUUUUAUCUGGGACGAAAAAAGGCGAUUCUUCGUCACUUGACGGUACCAGAUGAAUAAGCACCGGCUAACUCCGUGCCAGCAGCCGCGGUA
rnacentral:rRNA from 1 species